rnacentral:rRNA from 1 species
UGCAACGCGAAGAACCUUACCAGGCCUUGACAUCCUGCGAACUUUCUAGAGAUAGAUUGGUGCCUUCGGGAGCGCAGUGACAGGUGCUGCAUGGCUGUCGUCAGCUCGUGCUGUGAAGUGUCGGGUUAAGUCCCUUAACGAGCGCAACCCCUAUCGUUAGUUGCCAGCGCGUCAUGGCGGGGACUCUAGCGAGACUGCCGGUGUCAAACCGGAGGAAGGUGGGGAUGACGUCAAGUCCUCAUGGCCCUUAUGUCCAGGGAUGCAAACGUGCUACAAUGGCGUGUACAGAGCGAUGCGAGGCCGCAAGGCGGAGCAAAUCGCAAAAAGCACGCCCCAGUUCGGAUUGCAGGCUGCAACUCGCCUGCAUGAAGCCGGAAUCGCUAGUAAUCGGAGAUCAGCUACGCUCCGGUGAAUACGUUCCUGAGCCUU